rnacentral:rRNA from 1 species
GACGAACGCUGGCGGCGUGCUUAACACAUGCAAGUCGAACGGAAAGGCCCUGCUUUUGUGGGGUGCUCGAGUGGCGAACGGGUGAGUAACACGUGAGUAACCUGCCCUUGACUUUGGGAUAACUUCAGGAAACUGGGGCUAAUACCGGAUAGGAGCUCCUGCUGCAUGGUGGGGGUUGGAAAGUUUCGGCGGGUGGGGAUGGACUCGCGGCUUAUCAGCUUGUUGGUGGGGUAGUGGCUUACCAAGGCUUUGACGGGUAGCCGGCCUGAGUGGGUGACCGGCCACAUUGGGACUGAGAUACGGCCCAGCCUCCUCCGGGAGGAAGCAGUGGGGAAUAUUGCACAAUGGGCGGAAGCCUGAUGCAGCAACGCCGCGUGCGGGAUGACGGCCUUCGGGUUGUAAACCGCUUUCGCCUGUGACGAAGCGUGAGUGACGGUAAUGGGUAAAGAAGCACCGGCUAACUACGUG